UCAACCCCGCGAAUUCCACGCCAUCAAUCCCACCGUCAAAUACCUUAUUGCCAAUCAAUGUCAACCGUUGGAUCCCUUGCCAGCCCUCAAUAAAUAAACCUAAUUAUUUUGUCAAUUUAUCAUACAUAUUUCUGUUUCGAUUCAUCCAAUUUCUGCUUUGGGUUUUUCUCAGAUCUGCUCUACAUCGCUUCUCUUGAUCUAUAUCUGUUUUCUGAAUCUUGUAGAUCGUGAAACGAUCUAUAAUUUGAUUAUGGAUUUGGAUAUGUUUGUUGAGCUUUUUGGUCAAUGGAGAUUCUUCAUGCACAGCUUCAGAUACAUGAAUUCAGAUUGGAUUUGGUGAAGGUUUGUACCGUGAAUCCUCGGUAGAUGACUAUCAUUUUUAUAAUGGGAUCCGGCUGGAAAUUAUUCUUCUGAAUCAUCAAGUGACCGAGAAUUGAAUUCAGCCGAGUUGAACGCCUGCACAGGGUUCUAAUGAUAUCAUAUGUGGCAUGUUUGAUUUAUUGUGCUGUAUUGAUGUUGUCGGAAGGUAUGGUAAAUAUGGGCAUAUUGAUGAGAGGUUGCAGAGAGAUGUGUUGAGUGUGGCUUGUGAUUGUUAUGGUUGUCUUACGGACCUUUGCCAUGGCGGGUGCGCUCGCAUGGCAGGUCAAGAGAUCGUAAUAAAAAUUAUUUUUUGUUUCGAGGGGAGAUGGUACGGGGAAUUGCCCGACUUUCCUCUCUGUGUGCGGCCUCCUUUUCCUUUUCUGCAUUUUUUCCGUCGCUGUGUCAAUUGUUGCAAAAUUCGGAUUCCGUAUGGCCUUUGAGAAAAGUUUUGGCGUGCUGAACUCGACAACCAACACACAACUCGCAUCUAUUCCUUUAAAUUGUUCUCGUAAAUUGUGUUCGGUUUAGCCUACCAAAUCUACUAUCUAUGAGCUACGUGCAUCUAUUGAUUCAUGUGGGUGAAAAUAGAACACUGUGUUCCGGAGAAAGGACAACAAGUAGCAAACGGAUUCGGCACACCGACGCAUAACUUUCAAAAGAGGUACAAAUAUUAAGUUCUUCGAAAACACAAUAUUUCAAUUCAACCAUGUGCUACAUGUCUCUCUAACAAUUGGUAAUCUCUAUGAGCAAUCAUGAUUACUUUAUCCACAUUCAUCUACAACCAUGCGAUAAAUGUUAUUAACAUAUCAUUGCAGAUCUAGCAUGUUGACCACAUGGUAUAUUCUUUAUCCAUGCAUACAAAUUUCUGAUUCAUCCAUUUACUUCCGUAAAUUUGUGGACGAUCGUGGUUAGCAUCUUUGACAUUUAAUCCUAACAUCCCAAUGUGACCAACCAACUUCUCUCUUGCCUUAGUGGGCAGGAGAAGAAAUGCCCAGUGUAAAAAUGACCUUCUCAUUAAUCAACUUUUAAUUUCUGAUAAGGAGAUUAGUUUUAAUAAGUUGAUUAUGUUUUUAUACAGAUGUGCAUGAGAAAAUAAGCUAAGCCCCCUGUUUGGUGGGAUUAAAUUCAUAUUUUUAGUAGAUUUUGAUGAAAGUUGAUGAGA